rnacentral:rRNA from 1 species
GCGGCGGACGGGUGAGUAACACGUGGGUAACCUGCCUGUAAGACCGGGAUAACUCCGGGAAACCGGUGCUAAUACCGGAUAGAUUAUCUUUCCGCCUGGAGAGAUAAGGAAAGAUGGCUAUUGCCAUCACUUACAGAUGGGCCCGCGGCGCAUUAGCUAGUUGGUGAGGUAACGGCUCACCAAGGCGACGAUGCGUAGCCGACCUGAGAGGGUGAUCGGCCACACUGGGACUGAGACACGGCCCAGACUCCUACGGGAGGCAGCAGUAGGGAAUCUUCCGCAAUGGACGAAAGUCUGACGGAGCAACGCCGCGUGAGCGAAGAAGGUCUUCUGAUCGUAAAGCUCUGUUGUUAGGGAAGAACAAAUAUCGGAGGAAAUGCCGGUACCUUGACGGUACCUGACAAGAAAGCCACGGCUAACUACUUGCCAGCAGCCGCGGUAAUAC